GUGAUCGUAGUAAAUAAAAAGAUUUUAAUAUAACAACUAUUUCUUUUUUAUUAAUUUUUUAAAUAUAAAACACUGUUCUAGGUUCCCGUGCUUUAGUAAGAAUCUCUGCGUAGUCUUUUACACUCGCUUGUGAUCAUCUGUCCAAAAGCAACGGGAACAAUGCAUACACUGUGUUGAUUAGAAGUGAUCGGCCUCCUUAUAACUGGAGAUCUAUGUGUGUGUGCGUGU